rnacentral:misc_RNA from 1 species
UUUCCGUAGGUGAACCUGCGGAAGGAUCGUUUUGCACACUUCAUCCGAGGCGCCGCGUCCCUCAGCACCGGUAGCAACGCCUUCCUCCGGGGGCCGCGCGUGCACUCGUCCAAACCAAACCCCUGGGAACCUUACGGGAUGGCCCGGGUUAGCGCCCGGUGCCGUUCCGCCUUAUACAAUCACUUAGCAAAGACCGAACUGAAGGCGGUCUGACCGCGGGAUAACAAACUGAAACAACUUUCAACAACGGAUAUCUUGGCUCUC